UGGUCGAUCCCAGUCUACUCACUGGGCACCGCUGCAUUAGAGUGCAGUACCUGGUUCAGGUGGUUCAUGUGGCCGGAACAAGAUUGAAGCGAGACCGUAGAGGGUGAAGACGAUGAAGGCGAUGAUGAUGAAGGUCUUAUCCUGGAGGAUAAUAACUCUGGAUCCUGUACUGAGGCUAAGACUAGAAACAUACAAGGAUAAAGAGUUUGCUGAAGUCGAAAGAAUUUUGUCGUGAACAGCACAUGGAGCCACGCUCCUCAUGAUUGACACCUUAUUCUCACUGAGCUUUUCACAAACAGUACAUUGAGACUGUGAGGAAACAAAUGUGUAAUGUAUUCAAUUGAAAACCUUUUAUUUUACAACUCUUUUUGACUUUUUAAAUGGGUGAAUGGCAACCCACCAUUUGUCAAUGGCAACCCUUUUUUUAACCCAUGUACAAAAAAUAGCGACAGAGAUGAUUUUAAUCUUUUCCUCCUGUUAUUAUGAGAGUUCUCCUAGAACGAGGUCAUACCGUAUAAAAAAACAACUUGUUACCAACUGCUCUUAUUAAAAGGUCAUGUCAAUCAGGAGAUACAAAAACCAACGCUUGUGUCGCGCUCCAGCACAUGCUUUGUAAAGGACGACCUCUUGUGGACAUAUGUGUCAAUGACGAUUGGUUCUGUGAGCGUAAUUAUGUGUAGCGUUUUUUUUUUCUGUACGAUUGAGUGGACCGUUACUGUUUGUUUAAACUGGUGUCAAAAAAGACAAAAUGAGAACACGUUACAUAUGAAAAGUGAUAUUUAACAGAAGAUUUUACUCAGAAAUUCCAUCAGUCUGAUGGUUUUUUUUGCCAUGUGUAAUUUCAUUUUAAAGUCAAUAAGUUGUCAAGUUUUAUCAAUUUGUUUAAUCUUUUUAGACUUGGACGUCGACUUCUUUCCUUCUAUCACUGUAGUCACUGUAGUCAUCUAUGAAGUCGUUGUCUUUUCUGGGUUCUACCACAGAACUCUUCCUGUUGCAGCACGCUGCCUGUGGAUAAUAACAGGACACAUUGUCACCUCGUGGCUCAACACAGGAGUAGAGACUCCUGAAGCUCAGUUGGAGCAGCAGCAUACUACUGCAUGACAUAAUCAUGAUAUACAUACAGUAUACAUUAUACAACAGCAGCAAAAACCUGGACUAAACCUAAAAAAAAAAACCUAA